rnacentral:rRNA from 1 species
AUACGGAGGGUGCGAGCGUUAAUCGGAAUUACUGGGCGUAAAGCGUACGUAGGCGGUUAAUUAAGUCAGAUGUGAAAGCCCCGGGCUCAACUUGGGAACUGCAUUUGAAACUGGUUAGCUAGAGUUGAGUAGAGGGGAGUGGAAUUUCAGGUGUAGCGGUGAAAUGCGUAGAUAUCAGAAGGAACACCAGUGGCGAAGGCGACUCCCUGGACUCAAACUGACGCUGAGGUACGAAAGCGUGGGUAGCAAACAGGAUUAGAUACCCCAGUAGUCC